rnacentral:rRNA from 1 species
UACAGAGGUCUCGAGCGUUAGGCGGAAUCACUGGGCUUAAAGCGUGUGUAGGCGGAUCGUUAAGUACCUUGUGAAAUCCCACGGCUUAACCGUGGAACUGCUUGGUAUACUGGCGGUCUUGAGCCAGCUAGGGGCUACCGGAACAAAUGGUGAGCGGUGAAAUGCGUAGAUAUCAUUUGGAACGCCAAUGGUGAAAACAGGUAGCUGGGGCUGUGCUGACGCUGAGACACGAAAGCCAGGGGAGCAAACGGG